UACGGAGGGGGCAAGCGUUAUUCGGAAUCAUUGGGCGUAAAGGGCGCGUAGGCGGCUUGGCAAGUCAAAGGUGAAAUCCCUCGGCCCAACCGAGGAACUGCCUUUGAUACUGCCUAGCUCGAGGCCGGGAGAGGGUAGCGGAAUUCCCAGUGUAGCGGUGAAAUGCGUAGAUAUUGGGAGGAACACCAGUGGCGAGGGCGGCUACCUGGACCGGUUCUGACGCUGAUGCGCGAAAGCGUGGGGAGCAAACAGG
rnacentral:rRNA from 1 species